AAAACGACUCUCGGCAACGGAUAUCUUGGCUCUCGCAUCGAUGAAGAACGCAGCAAAAUGCGAUACUUGGUGUGAAUUGCAGAAUCCCGUGAACCAUCGAGUUUUUGAACGCAAGUUGCGCCCGAAGCUAUUAUGCCGAGGGCACGUCUGCCUGGGCGUCACGC
rnacentral:rRNA from 1 species